GAUGAACGCUGGCGGCGUGCCUAAUACAUGCAAGUCGAGCGAACAGGCAAGGAGUUUCUUCUUCUGACGAUUUCCGCGCACGUGUGUGUCACAUAUGGAUCACGUACCUAUACGACUGAGAUAUCUUCGGGACACUGGCGCUAAUCCCAUAUAAUAAAUUGAACCGUGUGGUUCAAUAAUAAGAUACGAUUUUGCUAUUACUUAUUGAUCGAUCCGUGUCGCAUCAGCUAGUUGGUAAGGUAACGCCUUACCAAGGCGAUGAUGCGUAGCCGACCUGAGAGGGUGAUCGGCCACACUGGAACGGGGACACGGUCCAGACUCCUACGGAAGGAAGCAGAAGGGAAUCUUCCGCAAUGAGCGAAAGCCUGACGGGGCAACGCCGCGUGAGUGAGGAAGUUCUUCGGAUCUUAAAACUCGUUUAUUAGGGAAGAAGAAAUGUGGAAUGAACUAUUCACGUCUUGACGGUACCUAAUCAGAAAGCCACGGCUAACUACGUG
rnacentral:rRNA from 1 species